GACGGGGGGGACUAGCGUUAUUCACCUAACUGGGCGUUAAGGGCGCGUAGGCUGAAAAUUAAGUUUGAAAGAAAAUACUCGGGCUCUACUUGAGAAUACUUUUUUUAACUGAUUUAUCUAGAGUUCAGAGCAGUAAAAUGGUACAGGCAAUUUGGAGGGUGAAAUCCUAAGAAAUGUUUUGGACCACCUUUGGUGAAGACGAUUUUAUGGCUUUAUGGGACUGACGCUGAGGCGCGAAAGCAUGGGUAUCAAACAG
rnacentral:rRNA from 1 species